AGGAGCCGUGUGAGGGGAAACCUUCAAGCACGGUUUUGAAGACCAACGAGAUUGGUGACAAUCUCGUUGAGUUUAAU
rfam:Nostoc calcicola FACHB-389 FACHB-389_Scaffold_128, whole genome shotgun sequence.